rnacentral:rRNA from 1 species
GACCUGGGAAUAGCUCCUGGAAACGGGUGGUAAUGCCGGAUGCUCCGACUCCUCGCAUGGGGUGUCGGGAAAGAUUUCAUCGGUAUGGGAUGGGGUCGCGUCCUAUCAGGUAGUCGGCGGGGUAACGGCCCACCGAGCCUACGACGGGUAGCCGGCCUGAGAGGGCGACCGGCCACAUUGGGACUGAGAUACGGCCCAGACUCCUACGGGAGGCAGCAGUGGGGAAUAUUGCACAAUGGGCGCAAGCCUGAUGCAGCGACGCCGCGUGCGGGAUGACGGCCUUCGGGUUGUAAACCGCUUUUGAUCGGGAGCAAGCCUUCGGGUGAGUGUACCUUUCGAAUAAGCACCGGCUAACUACGUGCCAGCAGCCGCGGUAAUACGUAGGGUGCAAGCGUUAUCCGGAAUUAUUGGGCGUAAAGGGCUCGUAGGCGGUUCGUCGCGUCCGGUGUGAAAGUCCAUCGCUUAACGGUGGAUCUGCGCCGGGUACGGGCGGGCUGGAGUGCGGUAGGGGAGACUGGAAUUCCCGGUGUAACGGUGGAAUGUGUAGAUAUCGGGAAGAACACCAAUGGCGAAGGCAGGUCUCUGGGCCGUUACUGACGCUGAGGGAAAGCGUGGGGAGCGAACAGGAUUAGAUACCCUGGUAGUCCACGCCGUAAACGGUGGAUGCUGGAUGUGGGGCCCGUUCCACGGGUUCCGUGUCGGAGCUAACGCGUUAAGCAUCCCGCCUGGGGAGUACGGCCGCAAGGCUAAAACUCAAAGAAAUUGACGGGGGCCCGCACAAGCGGCGGAGCAUGCGGAUUAAUUCGAUGCAAC